UUUGAGGCUAUUGUGAAUGAGGUAGUUUUUUCUAAUUUCUCUUUCAGAGGAUUCAUCACUGAUGUAGAGAAGUGAAUUUGAUUUAUGAGUAUUGAUUUUAUAUCCUGCUACUUUGAUGAAUUCAUUAAUUAAUUCUAGAAGUUUUCUGGUGGAAUUUUUUGGAUCCUCUAAGUAUAUAAUCAUGUUGUCAGCAAAUAAUGAGAGUUUGAGUUCUUCUUUUCCUAUUUGUACCCCUUUAAUUUCUUUCUUCUGUCUAAUUGCACUGGCUAUAGUUUCAAGGACUAUGUUGAAUAGAAGUGGUGAAAGAGAGCAUCCCUGUCUUGUUCCAGUUUUUAGAGGGAAUGCUUCCAUUUUUCUACAUUUAGAAUGAUGUUGGCCUUGGGUUUAGCACAGCUAGCUUUUACAAUGUUGAGGUAUGUUCUUAUUAUCCCUAGUUUUUCUAGUUUUUCAAACAUGAAAAUGUGCUGUACUUAGUCAAAUGAUUUCUCUGCAUCAAUUGAUAUAAUCAUAUAAUUUUAUCUUUAAGUAUAUUGAUGCAAUAAUUCUAUUUAUUGAUUUCUGUAUGCUGAACCAAACUUCAUCCCUGGAAUGAACCCCACUUGAUCAUGGUGC
rnacentral:lncRNA from 1 species